GAGCGGCAGAGCUCAGAUUUGAAAUCGUGCUUUGCGGCACGAGUUGUAGAUUGCAGGUUGGAGUCUGUGUGGAAGGCGGUGUCCAAGUCCCUUGGAACAGGGCGCCCAGGAGGGUGAGAGCCCCGUGGGAUGCCGGCGGAAGCAGUGAGGCCCUUCUGACGAGUCGAGUUGUUUGGGAAUGCAGCUCCAAGCGGGUGGUAAAUUCCAUCUAAGGCUAAAUACUGGCGAGAGACCGAUAGCGAACAAGUACUGUGAAGGAAAGAUGAAAAGCACUUUGAAAAGAGAGUGAAACAGCACGUGAAAUUGUUGAAAGGGAAGGGUAUUGCGCCCGACAUGGGGAUUGCGCACCGCUGCCUCUCGUGGGCGGCGCUCUGGGCUUUCCCUGGGCCAGCAUCGGUUCUUGCUGCAGGAGAAGGGGUUCUGGAACGUGGCUCUUCGGAGUGUUAUAGCCAGGGCCAGAUGCUGCGUGCGGGGACCGAGGACUGCGGCCGUGUAGGUCACGGAUGCUGGCAGAACGGCGCAACACCGCCCGUCAUGAAACACAGAACAAA
rnacentral:rRNA from 1 species